CAGUCGCCACGGUAAUACGAAGGGUGCAAGCGUUACUCGGUAUUACUGGGCGUAAAGCGUGCGUAGGUGGUGGUUUAAGUCCGUUGUGAAAGCCCUGGGCUCAACCUGGGAAUUGCAGUGGAUACUGGGUCACUAGAGUGUGGUAGAGGAUAGUGGAAUUUCCGGUGUAGCAGUGAAAUGCGUAGAGAUCGGAAGGAACAUCUGUGGCGAAGGCGACUAUCUGGGCCAACACUGACACUGAGGCACGAAAGCGUGGGGAGCAAACAGGAUUAGAUACCCCUGUAGUCCCUGUCUCUUAUAC
rnacentral:rRNA from 1 species